CCUACGGGCGGCAGCAGUGAGGAAUAUUGGUCAAUGGACGGAAGUCUGAACCAGCCAUGCCGCGUGAAGGAAGACGGCUCUAUGAGUUGUAAACUGCUUUUGUACAAGGGUAAACCUGAAUACGUGUAUUCAGCUGAAAGUACUGUACGAAUAAGGAUCGGCUAACUCCGUGCCAGAAGCCGCGGUAAUACGGAGGAUCCAAGCGUUAUCCGGAUUUAUUGGGUGUCAAGGGUGCGUAGGCGGAUUGAUAAGUUAGAGGUUAAAUGUCCGAGCUUAACUCGGGAACUGCCUCUAAUACUGUUGAUCUAGAGAGUAGAUGCGGUAGGCGGAAUGUAUGGUGUAGCGGUGAAAUGCUUAGAGAUCAUACAGAACACCGAUUGCGAAGGCAGCUUACCAAUCUAUAUCUGACGUUGAGGCACGAAAGCGUGGGGAGCAAACAGGAUUAGAUACCCGAGUAGUC
rnacentral:rRNA from 1 species